rnacentral:tRNA from 1 species
GAGGGUAUAGGUCAGUGGUAUAGUGCAUGCCUAGCAUGCAUGAGGUCCUGGGUUCAAUCCCCAGUUCCUCCA